rnacentral:rRNA from 1 species
GACGAACGCUGGCGGCGUGCCUUAUACAUGCAAGUCGAGUGGGUUUAGACCCACGGCAAACGGGUGAGUAACACGUAGGUACUUUCCUUGUCACAGGAAUAACCCUCCGAAAGGAGGGCUAAUACCUGAUGUGAUCGCAAGAUUAAAGGGUAUCCGCAAGGAUUACCGGACAAGAAGAGGCCUGCGGCCUAUCAGCUAGUUGGCGGGGUAAAUGCCCACCAAGGCUAUGACGGGUAGCUGGUCUUAUGAGGAUGAUCAGUCACAUGGGCACUGAGACACGGGCCCAACUCCUACGGGAGGCAGCAGUAGGGAAUUUUGCGCAAUGGGCGAAAGCCUGACGCAGCGACGCCGCGUGCGGGAUGAAGGCCUUCGGGGCGUAAACCGCUUUUAUAAGGGACGAACUUUGACGGUACCUUAUGAAUAAGAGGUUGCUAACUCUGUG